rnacentral:tRNA from 1 species
GCCGGGGUAGCUCAACGGCAGAGCAGUCGCUUCGUAAGCGACGGGCUGUGGGUUCGAGUCCCACCCUCGGCUCCA